rnacentral:rRNA from 1 species
UAACACAUGCAAGUCGAACGGUAACAGAAGAAAGCUUGCUUUCUUGCUGACGAGUGGCGGACGGGUGAGUAAUGCCUGGGAAUCUACCCUUUAGUUGGGGACAACAUAUGGAAACGUAUGCUAAUACCGAAUGUGCUCUAAGGAGCAAAGGUGGCCUCUAUUUAUAAGCUAUCGCUAAAGGAUGAGCCCAGGUUAGAUUAGCUAGUUGGUAGGGUAAAGGCCUACCAAGGCGACGAUCUAUAGCUGGUUUGAGAGGAUGAUCAGCCACACUGGGACUGAGACACGGCCCAGACUCCUACGGGAGGCAGCAGUGGGGAAUAUUGCACAAUGAGGGAAACCUUGAUGCAGCCAUGCCGCGUGUGUGAAGAAGGCCCGAGGGUUGUAAAGCACUUUUAGUAAGGAGGAAAGGUAAGUUGCUAAUAUCAGCUUACUGUGACGUUACUUACAGAAAAAGCACCGGCUAACUCUGUGCCAGCAGCCGCGGUAAUACAGAGGGUGCAAGCGUUAUUCGGAAUUACUGGGCGUAAAGCGCGCGUAGGCGGACUGUUAAGUCGGUUGUGAAAGCCCUGGGCUCAACCUAGGAACUGCAUCCGAUACUGGCAAUCUAGAGUUUAAGAGAGGCAAGGGGAAUUCCAGGUGUAGCAGUGAAAUGCGUAGAUAUCUGGAGGAACAUCA